GACUCCAUGAAGUCGGAAUCGCUAGUAAUCGUGGAUCAGAAUGCCACGGUGAAUACGUUCCCGGGCCUUGUACACACCGCCCGUCACACCAUGGGAGUGGGUUGCAAAAGAAGUAGGUAGCUUAACCUUCGGGAGGGCGCUUACCACUUUGUGAUUCAUGACUGGGGUGAAGUCGUAACAAGGUAACCGUAGGGGAACCUGCGGUUGGAUCACCUCCUUACCUUAAAGAAGCGUACUUUGUAGUGCUCACACAGAUUGUCUGAUGAAAAUGAGC
rnacentral:rRNA from 1 species